CCUGGAUGGCCGGCGCUCCUCCUGGACAGCAUGAGUGCCACCAGGAGUAACACCUCUAGUGCCGCCUCUCGCCGCCAAUCCACGGCUCCCGUGCUGCGUCGAUCUUAUCUCCUCGCACCCAUCCUCAUCCUCUUGUGCCUGGCCCUUAAAACGCCCCCUCCCCAAGCCCCUGCUCCUCAAACAGAAACUUUUCCCCACCAUAGCCAUGCCCAGCCGAGCUCCAUUCACCGGCGCAAUACUCCCAUCUCCCUCCGUCCCCCUCCGAUUCCUCACGCCAGGAGCAUCCUCAAGCCGCGGCACAUCCAUUUUGCCACUUCCCGGCAUAUCUCCCUCGUCGGACUGGCCUCCCCAUGGCGAUCUCAUUCCACACCACCUCCUCCAAGUGCUUGAACGUCCUGCUGGUGUGGUUGCCGGUGUUGACUUGUUUGGGACUCAUCCUUGGUCGGCAAGGAUCGUGGUGUUUGAUGUCAUGGUUGGCUUCACCAUGGAAUUUGGUAUCGAUGUUAGACUAUCGUUUACUUUUCCACUCCCUUUGAACUCUGAAAUCUACUUUAUGCUUUUGAACUCUUGAGUUGUAAUAACUAAAUGUGGGACCUAUAAUGAAGUACCUAGAUUGUUGUAA